rnacentral:lncRNA from 1 species
UCGAAGGGUUCAUUCGAUGUUUUGACGAAUGGGUCUUCGUUUCAGUCUUCAAGGAUAUCCUGCUCCGCCAUUCUACUCCCCGAACAGCAGGUGGAGAAGCCGUAGAAAAAAAAUCGACCUAGAAGAGAGGGAUUCUCUCCACAAGUCGACGUGGAACGGCUCUCCGACAGACAGAAGAUGCCUUAGAGGACAAAGAUUGGUAACUCCACUCGCUUUCGCUGGCAGCAGCUUGCCUGAUGCCGCCGCCUGCGAUCCGUGAAGGCUUCCAGAGAUGUUGGCUUAAAACGACGAAACGGUGAAAUGCACCCAAGAUGAAUGGGCCCGUAAGGUCAAAGUGAGCACUGCACACGAGUGGGAUCUCUCGAAUUCCCCAUCCUGAAGCGUAGAGCUGGGGGUAGCCGUCAGACGGCGCAACGUGCAACGGUCCCCUCGCAACGCGCCUCUGUCGCGACGCCCACUUUUCCAGGUAGCAGUUUUUUCUAAACAACUCCGUCGCUCGUCAAGCUAGGUUCAGAAGAGGGGGAAAACGACUUCCGAACCCCCAAUAUAGAUUGGUACAAAGCAUAGAAACCAACUCAGCAUCUGCCAGCGACUGACGUGGCCGCGCUCAAACAGUUGAUGCUGCGGAGAGACGAGUUUUGUCGAGCGUUUGUUGCGAACCGAAACUCCCCCUUGAAACCUACCCUCACCGCAGAGUCGCGUUUUCUGAUUCACGUGAAAAACUAAUCUCGAGGUUGGAUCGGCGACAUCCUGAC